rnacentral:lncRNA from 1 species
CAGGUGUGUAGGGGCAACCCACCCCUACAGUCACCAGGAAGGGGGCUUCCUACUCUGCAGCUACAUGAACCAACCUUCACUUCUCCCCAGGCUCUAGGGGAUGGUAGAGUCACAGGAUGGAAGAACUCUGUGUCCUUGAAUCAUUGCAUGGAAGAGAACUGGAAGUUGCCCAGGAACACCAGCCUUGGACAGUUAUGUGAACAAGAAAUAAACUUCUUUUACAGUGUCAUUUAUGUUUUUGAGCGUCUUUGUUACAGCAGCUAGGUGUAUACUAAUUCAGGGAUUCUGUGAUAGCAAUAUUUCUUCUUCUUUUGAGUAGAUUUCCAAAACUUGAUUUUCCACAAUUCUGAAAUAUUUUGGUUCUGGGAUAAACUUUUCUACUCUUUUGGCAGCACAAAGAUCCCUUUGUACAGAGGCACUGAUUUUUCUUCU